ACACGAAAGCGGUGUGUAAGGUGUGCAGCAACUCUGCUUGUGGGAACCGUGAGACAUUCGAAGCUCGUAAUUGAUGUCCUUGGUGCAAAACUGCUGAAACACAGCUAAUCGUUGAUCAAGCGGGCUUGACUUUGCCUCAGCUCAGAAUACUUCUCAGGAAAACAUCAAAGAGGAAUUCAUACAUCCUCAAAGAGCUAAACUAUUUCAUGGAUCCCCGGAGAAUAAAUGGGAACUUUGACAAGAAUGGAGAAUGUAGCAUCUUAGAGAUUACUGGAUCUGGGGAAGCCCUGUAGAGCCCCACGUGGUGAGGAACUGAAACCUCUUACUAAUAGCCAUGUGAGUGGGCUUGAAAACAGAUUCUGCAGCACCAUUUAUAGAGAUGCAGACCAUCCAAGAGCUUGACUGCAACCUCAUGAGACAUUCUGAGUCAGAGACACAUGGCUAAGCUAUUUCUGGAUUCCUAACCCUCAGAAACUGUGACGUUAUAAAGUUUCUUGUCUUAAGCCAGUAAACAUUGCAGUAAUUUGUUGUGCAGCAUUAGUGA